rnacentral:rRNA from 1 species
CCUACGGGAGGCAGCAGUGAGGAAUAUUGGUCAAUGGCCGCAGGGCUGAACCAGCCAAGUCGCGUGAGGGAUGACGGUCCUAUGGAUUGUAAACCUCUUUUGUCAGGGAGCAAAGGGCGCCACGUGUGGCGCUUUGCGAGUACCUGAAGAAAAAGCAUCGGCUAACUCCGUGCCAGCAGCCGCGGUAAUACGGAGGAUGCGAGCGGUAUCCGGAUUUAUUGGGUUUAAAGGGUGCGCAGGCGCAAUGGCAAGUCAGCGGUAAAAUUUCGGGGCUCAACCCCGUCGUGCCGUUGAAACUGGCGUUCUUGAGUGAGCGAGAAGUAUGCGGAAUGCGUGGUGUAGCGGUGAAAUGCAUAGAUAUCACGCAGAACUCCGAUUGCGAAGGCAGCAUACCGGCGCUCAACUGACGCUCAUGCACGAAAGCGUGGGUAUCGAACAGGAUUAGAUACCCGAGUAGUC